CGGGCACGGUGCAGCGCCGCCUCCCGUUCGCCUCUGCGCCUGGCCCGGCGACUGCGGGCGCUGCGGUCCACUGGGUCCGCCUCUUCCCGGCAUGGGUUUCUGCCCAGCUCACCCGCUGUCAGCUGGGGUCCUGCUCUGGUGGGAGGAAGAGGCUCAGACGCUUCCCUGCCCUCUCGCCUCAACCACCUCGAGGCAGCGGCUCCCAGGAUGUGCACUUUGACGACUAAAGCUGAGCCGGCGCCGCCACGACCUUGGGCGGGUGGUCGGCCUCUGCCCUGAGCAGGAAGUAGAAAGUCUCAGCAGACCCUUCCUGAGGGCCGAGCAACAGUGUAGUGGCGUAUUCCACAUAGCAAACAGAUGUACACUAGAUUUUGAUGGCAUUUUUCCAGGGACCCUGGGAGCAUCUGUGUUCUCGUGUUCUUCUUGCCUGUGAGGCCUCUUCUCUCUGAGGACAGAUGGUAGGACAGAGAGAAGACAGCAAAUGGAAAACAAAGGCUGCUAUUUUUUUGUGGGGUGUGUACAAUAUCUAUUCUACAUCUCUGCCCAUCCCCAUUUUCUCCUCCUCCAGAGAGCAUACAAUUAAGGCUAUAAACUGAAGUGGAGCCCCCAUUAUUUACCCCUAAAAAUGAAUACAGAUCUCAGCCUCUCAUUACCCCUUGGUUAGAAAGAGAGAGCAUUUUGGUCUGUUUGGGCGACUAUAACAAACAUACCUUAAACUGGGUGGCUUUUAAACAACAGAAAUUUGUUGCUCACAGUUCUGAAGACUGGUAAGUUCAAGAUCAAAGCACCAGCAGAUUUGGUGUCUGGUGAGGGCCCACUUCCUGGAUCAUAGAUGAUGCCUUCUUGCUGUGUCCUCACAUAGUAGAAGGGCAAGGCAGCUCUCUGGACCCCUUUCUUUCCUUUUCUUUUCUUUUCUUUUUUCUUUUCUUUUCUUCUCUUUCCAUUAAUCCGGUCCAUGAGGGCUCCAUCCUUAUAACCUAAUCACUUCUCAAAGGUCCCAUCUCCUAAUACUAUCGAGUUGGUAAUUAGGAUUCAACAUAUUAAUCUGUGGAGGAAGGGGACACAAAAAUUCAGACCAUAGCUGGUAGUGAUGAAGAUAGAAUGAGCCAGGUCCCAAUGUGGGGCCAGGUGUGAGGGGGGCAGUAGCUGGUCAUGGACAUGUGGAUGUUUGCUGAGUGAUGGGUGAGCAAGUCCCUGCCAUCUCAUAGGGACACUGUAAAAACUGCCCUCUUGAUGACCUUAGCAGUGCAAUCAUAUUAGCAAUGACAUCCACCUUGAGGAGGGAAAAGAUGGGUGUGAACAAGAAGGAUAGUUUCUUUCUCCUUACAGCAUCCAUUAUGUAGCAUAAAAAUUAGGGCCCCCAUGUAUCCAGGAAAGCAGUCAGAGCAUUCAUUAUUCAAUAACCAUAGGUGCUUAUUCCAUACUGUUAUGGACUGAAUCGUGUCACCUCCAAAUUCAUAUGUUGAAGCCCUAACUACCAAUAUGACUGUAUUUGGAGAUAACACCUUCAAGAAGGUAAUCAAGGUUAAAUGAGGUCAUAAGGAUUGGAUCCUAAGCUGAUAGGACUGGUGUCCUUAUAAAAAGAGACACUAGAGAUCUCUCUCUCUCUUUGUAUACACAGAGAAAAAGUCAUGUGAUGACACACCAAGAAGGUGGCUGUCUGCAAGCCAGGAAGAGAGGCCUUACCAGAAACCAAUCCUGGUGCACCUUAAUCUCAAACUUGAGCCUCCAGGACUGUACGAAAAUAAAUAUUUGUUGUGUAAGCACCCCCAGUGUAUGCUAUUCUGUUAUGGCAGCCCUAGCACACUAAUAUAAAUGCCUACUGCCUGCAAAGUGCUUUGCCUUUGAGGGUUGCAAAAGAGGAUCCCCUCCAGGGAUCCAUGGUCUCAUUGGGAUUUUCCUGUUUGGUCUGUGUCCUGUUCUUGAGUCUCCGCAGGCAGCAUUUCUUCCUGUGACAAUAUGGUGUAAGACAAAAUUGUGGCCUGCCAUGAAGUUGUGAGAGAAAAGCAUCCCUCAUUUCUUCAGGAAAGGCCACUGCCGUUCCCUCCGGCUCCUCUUCUCAGGAGUUUGUGCAUUCAUGAGGUGAAUUCCUUGGAAGAUGAGGGCCAAGUCUUAUUCUUCUCAGUCUCUUCUGCAUCUAGCAGAAGAAUAAUGGUUGCACAGAAAAUCUUGGUUCAGUGGUUGAGUGAAUGAAUGGAUGAACAGGCUCUUGCACACAAAGAAGAGACAUGAUGUAUUUGCAUCCUUCCCUGCUUCAGCCAGUUUUCUGAAGCUCAGAGGGACACCUUGUAUUGCUGGAUGAUAAAAACAGGAGCAAAGUGAUGAAGUGCUGACAAGGCAACAAUAGAACAUGAGAGAUUCACUGCUGUGUAGGAAGAGAUCUUCGGUGACCAUGUAGCCUGAAGCUCUCAUUUUGUCAUCGAGGGACACCAAAACUCAGAACAGCAGCAGCUCACGCUGCUGAUGCAACACAGGUGAAGAGCACCUUCCCCUCCCCCACCUGUGGGCUGAUUCCCACCACGUGGAUCCCAAGGCCAUCCCAGGAACUCUUUGGAGGGGAGAAGCCCAGUGGAAACUGUCAGGCCUCUGAGCACAAGCCAAGCCAUCGCAUCCCCUGUGACUUGCACGUAUAUGCCCAGAUGGCCUGAAGUAACUGAAGAAUCACAAAAGAAGUGAAAAGGCCCUGCCCCACCUUAACUGAUGACAUUCCACCAUUGUGAUUUGUUCCUGCCCCACCUUCACUGAGUGAUUAACCCUGUGAAUUUCCUUCUCCUGGCUCAGAAGCUCCCCCACUGAGCACCUUGUGACCCCCGCCCCUGCCCACCAGAGAACAACCCCCUUUGACUGUAAUUUUCCAUUACCUUCCCAAAUCCUAUAAAACGGCCCCACCCCUAUCUCCCUUCGCUGACUCUCUUUUCGGACUCAGCCCGCCUGCACCCAGGUGAAAUAAACAGCCAUGUUGCUCACA
rnacentral:lncRNA from 1 species